AACGAACGCUGGCGGCAUGCCUAACACAUGCAAGUCGAGCGCCCGUAGCAAUACGGGAGCGGCGCACGGGUGAGUAACGCGUGGGAACCUGCCCAGAGGUUCGGGACAACCGCGGGAAACUGCGGCUGAUACCGGAUGAUACCUGAGGGUCAAAGAUUUAUCGCCUUUGGAGGGGCCCGCGUCGGAUUAGGUAGUUGGUGGGGUAACGGCCUACCAAGCCUAUGAUCCGUAACUGGUCUGAGAGGAUGACCAGUCACACUGGGACUGAGACACGGCCCAGACUCCUACGGGAGGCAGCAGUGGGGAGUAUUGGACAAUGGGGGGCAACCCUGAUCCAGCAAUGCCGCGUGGGUGAUGAAGGCCUUCGGGUUGUAAAGCCCUUUCGGCGGGGACGAUGAUGACGGUACCCGCAGAAGAAGCCCCGGCUAACUUCGUGCCAGCAGCCGCGGUAAU
rnacentral:rRNA from 1 species